GGCUGAAUUUUGCCGGGCUUGAAAUCAGAUCUGCAACUACUUGAGCCAAGAUGUCUUUGCUCAUGUCCUCUAUUCUGUCGCUAAUGGUGUCAUUUGAAAGAGGAAUUUGGGAUAACUGAACUUCAGCCGCUUUUUCCAGCAUGAUAUUCGCCAUCUUCAACACAGCUGGUUUUAUGAGUGUUUCACCAAUGGUGUGUGGUUUGCCCUGCUUUGCGAUCAGGUAAGCAACUUCGUACGAUGCUGUGAGGAUCGGUUUGUUGAUGGGUACAAAGCCGAGAACAGGCAGAGUAGCCUUUUCAUCGAAUCUGGCUCUCUUCACCUUGAAUUCAGCGAGCGUUGUGUUCUUGUAUUGUCCAUCUCCAUGCAGCUUAAGGAAGUGUUCUCUUAGUUUUGCCGGUGCUAGACUAGAAUUGCUCAACUUGGCAUUGCAAAUCAUGCAGUUAGGACGCUGACUCCCAUCACGUUCCGUUAUACAUGUGAAUCCAUAUUGUACAUAUUCGUCCGACCACUUUCUUUUUUUGCUCGACAUAGUUAGUAUGAAGGGAUUAAAAUAUUAAGAAAGAAAUGACACGACGUACCAUCACGAUAGUCACAAUUUGACUACUGAGCGCGCCAAAUUCCCUGCAGCACAGAUAGGCCAAGCGAUGUUGCGUGAUCACCUGCAGCCAAUGAUGGCCAAGCGGGGCAUGUAAUCACAAAUCAUAUGAGUCGGGUGUGUGUCUUGACCUCCGCCGAACCCCUGAGACUGACUCACCGAACCCCUGGGGUUCGAUCGAACCCAAGUUAAGAACCACUGCUUUAGAGUGUAUGGUCAGACCGACGAAAAUAAGAACAAUCCAGCACCUACAGAAGAGAGUGGUGAAGUUGAUGAUGGUGAUAAGAAUGAUGAAGAAGACCAGGAUAGCACUGAGAGUGUGGAGUUUGUUGAAGCUGGGGCCGUAUUGGAUGAAGACGACUGCCUGGAAUAUCAGCUUCCAAAACACCAUCGUUGCGCUUGCCACCUUCUCAACUUGGUUUCAACAAUUGAUGCUGAGGAGGCAAAUGUGAGCACAGUCUACAAGCGGGUCUCACGCUCAACGUUUUCAAAGUGCUGGAGUCUUUGGAACAAAAGCGCAAGAUCCACCACAGCAGCUGAGAUCAUUGAAGAGAAUUGCAAACUCCAGCUCUUGAGGCCAAAUGCAACAAGGUGGAACUCACUCUUUGUAGCAGUGGAGAGGAUUGUGAGGAUUGCAAGGGAACAAGGAGAAGGGGCCAUUGCAGCUGUUUGCAGUGCACUAAAGAUACCCAUGUAUGUACCUGCCCCUUUUCAUUUUUAAAGCUGAACUAUAUAUUUUUUCACUUUGAAUUGAAAAGCUAUAAAACAGUAUAUUUACUAACCCUCUGCACAGAUUAUUAGCAUUAGCAUGUUAUUGAAUUGAAGAUGUAAAUAUGAAAUGUUUUAGUUUUUUAUUUGUUGUUUUAACAAGUUCACUCCUGUCGGGCUUGCAUUUCUGGCAGAAUAUGCAAAGACUAUGAGACCAGUUGCAAAGGCCCUUGAUGUUCUUCAGGGAGAGACAGAUGUGCAAAUGGGGUGGUUGGUCUCUACAAUAACACUACUCAAGGUUAAGCUUCAGCAGUUCUGCAUUUCCUCCAAGUUCUGUGGGCCUUUGAUUGAUGCACUUCCAGGAGGCCUUGAAAAAUGAUUUGGACAGAUCCUCACAGAUCCAGAGCUGGUCGCCGCAGCUAUUCUAGUCCCCAAAUUCAAGACAUGCUGGACAAGUGACGAAUGCGUCCUAAAACUUGGCCUUGACUAUAUCAAAAGUCACUUGAAAGACCAAGCUGUGGAGAAUCAAGGAGAUAUCUCCCAUUCUUCAGAGGAGGAGGACUUCUUUUCUGCAAUCAAACAGACCAAUUCCCAAGAAAAUGCCAAACAGCUCGAGGCUUACCUUGGAUGCCGAGGUGAUACAGUAGAUAUACUUAAGUCUUUCCCGGCAGUAUGCAACCUUUCAUUGCGGCUUAACACCGCCCUCCCAGCCUCAGCAGCCUGCGAGAGACUGUUUAGUGCAGCAGGACUGAUCUUCAGACCAAAGAGGGCACGUAUUGGUUCCAAGAACUUUGAAAAUCAGCUUCUUUUGAGGCUAAACAGAAGGUUCUGGUAAUUGUUUAGGGUAUGCCAUUGUACUCUUUCUGUCCUACACAAAAUACUGACGUACACUCUCUCUCACACCCAGACCGAAAAAGCUCCUGUGACACCAAUGGUGUUGGUAGUGUAAUAGUUUAUGUCCAGUUUUACUGCCCAGUUUUUGAAGGAAAUUUUUGACACGUAUACUUCUCACUCUCACUCACUCCUCCCUUUCUUUCUUUCUCUCUCUUACUCACACACACUGAUAUUCUUCGCAGUCUAUUUAUUUCCUCCACACACACUGACAAGCACACUCCUUGGUAAUGUCCUGGUAGUUUUUCAGGCCAGGGUAUGUCUUGAAUAUUACUACCUCAGUUUGGAGGUCUAUUUAAAUUCCAAUAAAGUUUGAGAAAAACA